rnacentral:rRNA from 1 species
UGGGGAAUAUUGCGCAAUGGGCGAAAGCCUGACGCAGCGACGCCGCGUGAGGGAUGAAGGUUUUCGGAUCGUAAACCUCUGUCAGAAGGGAAGAAACCGCACUGUGCUAAUCAGCAGUGCCUUGACGGUACCUUCAAAGGAAGCACCGGCUAACUCCGUGCCAGCAGCCGCGGUAAUACGGAGGGUGCAAGCGUUAAUCGGAAUUACUGGGCGUAAAGCGCACGUAGGCUGCUUUGUAAGUCAGGGGUGAAAUCCCACGGCUCAACCGUGGAACUGCCGUUGAUACUGCUUAGCUUGAAUCCGGGAGAGGGUGGCGGAAUUCCAGGUGUAGGGGUGAAAUCCGUAGAUAUCUGGAGGAACAGCAGUGGCGAAGGCGGCCACCUGGACCGGUAUUGACGCUGAGGUGCGAAAGCGUGGGGAGCAAACAGG